rnacentral:rRNA from 1 species
UACAGAGGGGGCAAGCGUUAUUCGGAAUUAUUGGGCGUAAAGGGCGCGUAGGCGGCUUGGCAAGUGGAUGGUGAAAUCCCUCGGCUUAACCGAGGAACUGCCGGUCCAAACUGCUUCGCUUGAGACCGGGAGAGGUGAGUGGAAUUCCCAGUGUAGCGGUGAAAUGCGUAGAUAUUGGGAGGAACACCAGUGGCGAAGGCGGCUCACUGGACCGGGUACUGACGCUGAUGCGCGAAAGCGUGGGGAGCAAACGGG